CCUACGUGAGGCAGCAGUGAGGAAUAUUGGUCAAUGGGCGCGAGCCUGAACCAGCCAAGUAGCGUGAAGGAUGACUGCCCUACGGGUUGUAAACUUCUUUUAUAAAGGAAUAAAGUGAGGCACGUGUGCCUUUUUGUAUGUACUUUAUGAAUAAGGAUCGGCUAACUCCGUGCCAGCAGCCGCGGUAAUACGGAGGAUCCGAGCGUUAUCAGGAUUUAUUGGGUUUAAAGGGAGCGUAGAUGGGUUGUUAAGUAAGUUGUGAAAGUUUGCGGCUCAACCGUAAAAUUGCAAUUGAUACUGGCAGUCUUGAGUACAGUUGAGGUAGGCGGAAUUCGUGGUGUAGCGGUGAAAUGCUUAGAUAUCACGAAGAACUCCGAUUGCGAAGGCAGCUUACUAAACUGCCACUGACAUUGAUGCUCGAAAGUGUGGGUAUCAAACAGGAUUAGAUACCCUUGUAGUC
rnacentral:rRNA from 1 species